CGAGCGAGCGUGAGACUUCGGUGGAUUUGCUGAGCGGCGGACGGGUGAGUAACGCGUGGAUACCUGCCUCACACAGGGGGAUAACAGUUAGAAAUGACUGCUAAUACCGCAUAAGACCGCAUGGUAAAAACUCCGGUGGUGUGAGAUGGAUCCGCGUCUGAUUAGGUAGUUGGUGAGGUAACGGCCCACCAAGCCGACGAUCAGUAGCCGACCUGAGAGGGUGACCGGCCACAUUGGGACUGAGACACGGCCCAAACUCCUACGGGAGGCAGCAGUGGGGAAUAUUGCACAAUGGGCGAAAGCCUGAUGCAGCAACGCCGCGUGAGUGAAGAAGUAUCUCUGUAUGUAAAGCUCUAUCAGCAGGGAAGAAAAUGACGGUACCUGACUAAGAAGCCCCGGCUAACUACGUGCCAGCAGCCGCGGUAAUACGUAGGGGGCAAGCGUUAUCCGGAUUUACUGGGUGUAAAGGGAGCGCAGACGGCACUGCAAGUCUGAAGUGAAAGCCCGGGGCUCAACCCCGGGACUGCUUUGGAAACUGUAGAGCUAGAGUGCUGGAGAGGCAAGCGGAAUUCCUAGUGUAGCGG
rnacentral:rRNA from 1 species